AUGUCCAGCAGAACUGGCUGGGGGCGGCCUGGGAGAAGAGCAUCCAUGUUCUUCUGCCAGCAGAUGGCCUCCUCGGCUGAGGUCUGCUCCAUCACCACAUGCGUCACUUCCGAGCUGGGGAGCUGGUUGGUGACUUCUGCAAACUCAGGACAUCCUUGACCACUGGCUCACUGGGAGGGAGAGCGGCUAGCAAAUAUGGCUAACUACUUUUCCUUGUAUGGCUUUUUAAGAAGUCUCUGGCUUGAUGGCACCGUCUUAAAAAAGAGGAACUCUGAGUUGGAGGAAGGUACUGUGACCGCGAAGUGCCAGGGCUGGCUUAGGUCCCAAAGCCGCAGGUGCUGCCGUCCGCAGCUGCGAACCAUCUCCCGCCCUGGGCCACGGUGGGAACAUACCCUAGGGUGGCCGGCUUAUACCAGCCCCCCGCGAGGCUGGCACCCCACCAACACCGGGCCCUCGCGGGAGCCGCACACCUGUAGGUAUCUAGGACGCGGAAGCCUUUGGACCGCGCCAGACGCGCGAGGAAGGCCCGGCGGCUGCGGCCCAUGCGCGGCUCGGCCAGGUAGAUGGCCACCCCCGGGAAGCGCACCGGCGGCGGCGCGGAGGAAGCACCAGCGCGGUCUGGGGACUCAGGCCGCACUCGCCGCCGCUUGGGAAGCAUCUGGAUACGGAACUCAGGAGGCACGGAAGGCCGCAGAAGCGACAGAGCCGAGGGCGGUGCCUCAGCUUACCCUGGACCAGCUGCCUCUGUUGGUGACACAGCGCCUGCGCGCCAGCCUCUGCGUCUGCAAAGGAGAGCAGAUAUGUAGUCUGCGAGUGAGCUAACGGACUGUGAAAAAGUUUUCCAAUCUAAC